rnacentral:misc_RNA from 1 species
AAAGUCGUAACAAGGUUUCCGUAGGUGAACCUGCGGAAGGAUCAUUACUGAAGGGGGGCGCGCCUCGCGCGCCCCUUGGAGUCUCGCCUCCUAAACCCGGCGGCGCCGAACCCCCCGAGCUCACGCGAAGGGGCUGUAGGCGUCCGCCGCCCCCCCAACCCCGUGUUUACCCUACCUCUGUUGCUUUGGCUGGCGCCCGCGCCAGCCAGAAGGCCCUAUUCGUGGAUUGUCUGUGUUUGUCUGAGUGGGAUUAGAAUCGUGACAACUUUCAACAAUGGAUCUCUUGGCUCUG